UACGGAGGGGGCUAGCGUUGUUCGGAAUUACUGGGCGUAAAGCGCACGUAGGCGGCUUUGUAAGUUAGAGGUGAAAGCCCGGGGCUCAACUCCGGAACUGCCUUUAAGACUGCAUCGCUAGAAUUGUGGAGAGGUAAGUGGAAUUCCGAGUGUAGAGGUGAAAUGCAUAGAUAUCGUCAAGAACACCGAUAGCGAAGGCAGCUUACUGGGCUGUAACUGACGCUGAUGCACGAAAGUGUGGGGAUCAAACAGG
rnacentral:rRNA from 1 species